rnacentral:lncRNA from 1 species
CAUGAAUAAAAAUUUGAAUCCAAAUGCUUUGAGAUAAUUUGCAUGCCAACCUGUUUUUACAUGACUCCAUUUCUUUAUCUGACAACCAUUAUUCAGGCAUUCGCGGACGACACCACAGUCACAGAUACAAUUUGGGCGAAACACUAAGAUCAGACUUUCCUUGAACUCACACGAGAAAACACGCGGGGCACUAAGGCCAGUCCGCCACCACCCUUAAUACCAUGGCUGGAAGCCUGGAACCGGAGAAGUAAGAAUGGUGUUUGCUUGAGAGGAGGAUGCCGGCGCUAUGGCCUGGUUUGACAGCUUGUCGUGUCAUGUGGGCGCAAUCGCGCGUGCAUGUGUAGUUGACAACUUGAAUUAGCGGAACACAUCGACACACCGUGCUCUGGUACGAUCAGUGGAUGAUUGGAUUGACUAAUGGUACACACGAUUCACGAUUCUUCCGUCAUUCAUUCACUCGUGCACCUCAUGCUUAAUUACAUUGCGCGGGGUUCACUCCACCAUGGUACAAAUCAACACAUAACUAGACAAAGGUACAAGUUGAUCUACGGCGUACAAGUACACAUGCAUGCAUAUAUCGAUCGUCCGAUGGAUGGACCGAUAUAUACUACAGCUAGCUGCUAAUUCUCAUUUAGCUCCCGGGGGCGAAGUUGGUAGCAAAGGCCCAUGCAUUGUUGUUGACUGGGUCGGCGACGUGGUCGAAGAGGUUCUCGACGGGUCCCUUGCCCGUGACGAUGGCCUGCACGAAGAAUCCAAACAUGGAGAACAUGGCGAGGCGGCCGUUCUUGAGCUCCUUGACCUUGAGCUCAGCGGCGGUGUCUGGGUCGUCGGCGAGACCGAGGGGGUCAAAGGCGCCACCGGGGUAGAUCUUGUCGAGCCCCUCACCGAGAGGGCCUCCACCAACACGGUAACCCUCGAUGAAGCCCAUGAGCACAACUUGGCAUGCCCAAAUGGCGAGGAUGCUCUGCGCGUGCACGAGGUUAGGGUUGCCCAGGUAGUCCAGGCCGCCCUCGGAGAAGAUCUGCGAGCCGGCCUUGAACCACACCGCCUCGCCGAACUUGACACCAUUCUUGGAGAGGAUCUCCGGGAACACGCACCCGAGCGCGCCAAGCAUCGCCCAACGAGAGUGGAUCACCUCGAGCUCCCUGUUCUUGGCGAACGUCUCUGGGUCAGCUGACAACCCCGCGGUGUCCCAGCCGUAGUCACCGGGGAACUCGCCGGUCAGGUACGACGGCGUCUGCUCGGAGAACGGGCCCAGGUACUUGGGACGGUCAGGGCCGUACCUAUAUAUACACGCACGGUCAUUUCAUCACCAUUAAUUUCAUUCAGGCGAAGCCAAUUGCGCGGUACUUGAUGCAUGUAGUACAUAGAAAUGUAGCUUUGGACGAAGAAAAAGAUAUACUUACCAGAUGCUCUGGGGUGCGCUCUUGACAGUCCGGCGCAUGGUGAUGCGGCCGCCGAAGUCGCCGACGCUGCGGACGAGGUCAUCGCGGCGUGGGGCGGUGCCGAGGAAGCUGGUGGUCUGGUGCAGCGCCGACGCGGCCAUUUCGAUCCCAAUUCAAGUGGUAAGGUCAGUGAGAGAUGAGCUGGUGGCUGGUGUUGUUUGAGUGAGGAUGCCCGGCUCGGGGAGGUGGAUCUUUAUACGGCGCCUGAGAGGCGCGGGGCGAAGCUGGUGGACGCGCGGCGAGACACGUCCCCGCGACCCAAUUGGCUGCUGCUUCGCCUCUGGAUAUGGCGCGGUAUCCAUCCCCCUCCACGCGACCACUCGUCGGCCGCCACCUGGAGCCCAAGAUCGCAUCGCCCACAUCCUACACUAUCCCGACCAUAUAUGCACAUAUGUGCUCUGUUUCAUUUUAUCACGGUACAAUACUUGCCUAGAUCCGGUGAAACCGUGACAAAAUCAAACGACACCACCCACCAGUUUUCAUCUCACUGAUCGACCUGGUGAUGCGAGGUGAUUGAACCUCUCGCAGAUGUUCUUACCUUGCUCCGCUGGAUAAAGAUAUUACGGUUUUGUUAGUUCUAGGUUGUCAGAUUUUUAGUUAGAGAUAAGUUGAUUUUUCGGCCGUUGGAUAUGAUUUGUGCUUUAAAAUUUGCAAAGGAUGAUGAAAAAAAAAAGAUUUUUUACACUGGAUCAUACUGCUCCUCUUAUCCCAUCCGUCCGCUGUGCCUCGAGAUUCGUGCCCGACACCACAUAGUGAAAACUGCCUUCUGACUGCUGCUGAGUCCCACUCCUCAUUUUCCUUCUUCCCCAACCUCAAGCGCCUCUCUCUCUCUCUGCCCCUCUCUCUCUCUCCCCCCCAUGGUGCUGCUCCAUGUUAGGCGUCUCUCUCUCCUCUCCAUGGUGCUGCAUUGCCGCUCCAUGUUUUCACGCCUCUCUCUCCUCUCCAUGGUGAUGCUCUCUCUCUCUCUCUCUCCUAUCCAUGGCGCUGCACCAGUGGCUGCGGCGGCGACGGCACGGCCAUGUGUUGGAGGCGGCAGCAGGCGGUGCGCAUGUGGUGGCGAUAGCGGCCAACAUCGUGCCAUGUGCUUUUGGCGAGCCAGUUUUUUUCUUCGGCACACUAUAGAAGAGGCCAAGAGGGAGUGGUGUGCUCGAGACUCAAGAGUGACUGAAGCUUUCCCUGAAAAAAGAGAGCAAAGUGAGAUCUAAAUAUUAAUCUAAUGGCUCUGAUUCGUCAACUUAGAUCUAAGCCUUUUUUGCUUAAAUCAGGCAAAUUAGAUAUAGCAACGUCCGAUCUAAACCGUCUAAUUUCUUUUGAGUAUAAUGUGUGUUUUUGUUUGGCUUCAGUUUCAUUGUUCCAUGCGAUUUGGUUAAUUUUUUUAUACCAAAAAAGAGAGAUUUGGCUAAUUUUAACCUGAAGAUUGGUGGAUACUGAGCAUCUCCAAUGGGGUCUCCCAAAAGCUAUCCCAAAUGUCUCUUUGGGGGAUAUGGAUAUUUUGUUCUCAAAAUCAUUCCCGAAUGGCAUCCCCAAAACGGACAAAAUUUCCUCUUUGUCCGUCCCCAUCCUCAAAUUGGCCCCAAAUUUGGGGAGGUUUGGGGUGUCCGGAGACCGGACACACACUCACUUCUUAUCCGGCCCGAUCUCACAAAAAGCAGAGAUUCCAGUCCUUCUUCCUCUCCCUCUCUCUCUCUCUCUCUCUCUCCCCCCUCCGCACAUAGUGGAGCCGGAAGAAGUCAUGUGUUGCAUGCGAAUAAUGACAGAGGUCAUGUGCUGCAUGCGAAUUCAAAGACUAUGUGCUGAAGGAACCAGUCAUGCGCUGACACAUGGCAUCUUAUACCAUAUACCAAUAAAAUAUAUCAUAUAUCAUUUACUGACACCAUGUAUUGAACCACAUACAUUGACUGAUAUCAUAUAUCAUUGACUAAUACCAAGGAAAAUAUCAUUCACAUAGCAUAUACCAAUCCAUAUACCAUUGACCCAUAUCAUGUACCAUUGACUCGUAACAAAAUAUAAUACUAAGGUGGGUCGGCCCACCACCACGUGCCAGCUUGUGCCGGCACCACUACAUAGCGGUGCCGGUAGAAUCGCCGCUUUACGUCUACCUCCCUCUCCCUGCUUUCUCUGCUCCCUCUCUCGAUCUCUCUUCCUCUGACUUCUCCUCACCAUCUCUUCUCUCUGGGCGGCGCCGAAUCCGACCGGCGCUGUCUCGACCGCCGCCGCUCCGCCGCGGGUCCUUCCGCGAACGAACUGCUCUGCCUGGGCAAGCUCCACAAGGUCGCGCCACUGCAGAAAGCAUCCGCAGGCUGUGGAGAUUCGCCCGGACCUCGUCCUCCGACGGCAGUACCAAAGCGGCGCCGGCGUUCAGUCCAGGAGCACAUGCAGGGACGAACAGCAGGGUCAAGCUUCAUCCGCUAGCCAACGUAAUCAAAAGACCGGUCUGAUGGAAACUCUAGACAAUUCACUUAUACACUUCAACACCCCGCCCCCCUCACGUGUGACGGGAAGACAAGUCAACACGUGUAAACUCAGAGGUAUGGUGGUUCAAGAGGCCAAUACAUGAACAGAGGGGGUAACAACAAUUUUUAAUAUAAAUUGUGAAAGCCAGGACUUGCCGUUGGGUGACGAGGGCAGACACAGGGCGUACAUAUGUCUAUUUGCCCUCCAAACGGACAAAAUGAGGACAUUUGAGGGCAAAAUUUGGAGGACCCCAUUGGAGAUGCUCUAAGAUCUUGUGGUGUUGCAGUUAUAAAAACCACUCCCUCCGUCCAACAAAAGAUGUCUUAAGUUUGUCAAAAUUUGAAUGUAUAUAGACAUGACUUAGUGUAUAGAUGCAUUCAAAUUUAGUCAAAUUUGGACAUCCUUUGUUGGACGGAGAAAGUAUUUUUGUAAGGCGGUUAUAAGAACUACUAGUACUACACAACCGCGUUUUGCUUUUCUUUUUCCUAAAAUUGAACUAGUACCGAUCAGCCUAUAUAUGCAUCUUCACGUUCUAUUAAUAUCUACACUGAUAACUUAUUGAGUGAAAGAAAAGGUUUUAGGAAUAAUAUAUGUAUAUGAAAAUUUAGAAUCACGUAUGAGUUGGACACAGUAACAGAAACUUGUAGUAUAGAAGUACUCUAUUUCCCUACUACCUUAGACAAUAUAAAUAUUGAGACCAUGUUACUCCCUAUUUAAUAUUCAGAUUUCUUUUUGUUUUGUUCUUGUUGCUGAAUGCAGUUCAAUGUAUUGCUCUAAUUUGAGUUGUCCCUAUAAUUAUUUUUACAAGUUUUGAAAAAAAGGUAGUGUAUGUUAAUUAAGAACCAAGAUUCAUACAAUCAUUCAUAACCACGCAGGACAGCACGGAAUUACUCAACACACCUCCAGUGCACACCUUACUGCAGUAGCUAGCUAGCUCAUGAGCCACAUAAUUGUUCUCUCUUUUAGUAAAAACGAAGCGAAUGCCAGGAUCAAAAGUAGUGACCUGUGGAAUGUCAACCACCAUUGAGCAUCUUGAAGACCGAUUAUCCGCCAAGGAGUAAAGAGCCUGAAUGAAGGAGACGCAAUCGCUUUCAACAAUCAAAGGUGCCGAGGAGUGUUGCCUGGCUAUCUUGAGGCCCUGAAGACAAGCCACACCCUCAGCCAUCUCUGCAUUAGGACAACGAGCAAUGGCGUCCCAAGCUGACAGAAUUACGGUGCCAUGUUCAUUGUCAAUCUUCAUGCGCUAGCCAACGCAACCAAACGAUCGAUCUGAUGAAAAUAAGCAAUCCACUUAUACGCUUCAACACCCCGCCUCACGUGUGACGGGGAAGAUAAGUUAACACAUGUAAACUCAGAAGUAUGGUGGCUCAAGAGGUCAACAUAUGGACGGAGAGGUAACAUCAAUUUUUAAUAUAAAUUGUGAAAGCCAUGACUUUAACAUGAGACAUUUGGCUUUGAUACCAUGUCAAACUUCAUGCGCUAGCCAAUGCAACCAAAAGAUCGAUCUGAUGGGAAGGGCUAGGCAAUCCACUUAUACACUUCAACAUUGAUCAAGGAGAACCGCACCCCAAGUAACAAUGUUCACGCCCGACGAAAAGCUAGCAUUCACGUUGAGUUUGAGCCAUCCCGUGUCUGGUGGUCUCCAGGCCGAAGGUGGACAAGGCUGGACAGUUGCAUGUUCCUCUGCUCGGGUUGUACUACACGAUUUUCCUUCAAGAUCAGGUUCCAGCAUCUUAUCCUUAAUUGUCAUCAUGGAGUUUGCAUAAUUGAAAAGAAAUUGUGCCGAAGGUUGGAUCGAUGCAUCUCCUUUCGCAAAGAUGAUAUCAUUCCGGAGAUGCACGCUCGCCACCAUAUGAAUAGGAGUUUGGUACGGGAGUCCUCAUUCACCUGAUCGAGUAACACCAAAACCCAAUCGCGCCCAAAGUAGCGAAUACCAGUUUCAGGUGGCAGCGGCAUGAAAUCCAUCUUCAGGCUCCAUGCCACACAUGGUGCAAGUCUCGUGGAUGUUUUUGAAGCGAUGGUGGUGAUUAGUUUGCACAGCAAGGGAAAUUGUGGCUAACUUCCAACCAAACACCUUGAUUUUGGGUGGAACCUGAGGCUGUGUCUUCCGUCAGACCUUGUGCUAUUACCGGUGUUAGCAAGCUGCAGCUUGAGGUUGAAAGGGUUCAAAGCAAGCCUGUAAGCACUGCGUACAUUAAAAACUCCAGAUUUUUCAUGAUGCCAAGCGAUGAAGUCAUCCAUUUGUUGUUCAGGGAUACGGGUCUUAAGAAUUUCCUCUGUAUCAAAAUCAUGGAACAUGUUGCGGAUGACCUGCUCAUUCCAAACUCGGUUGUCCUGAUCAAUAAGACCUGCCACAUGCCGGAGUCUCGACUGACUUGCUCUGCUAGGGACUUGCAGUGCCACGGGGAAUCCAGUUGUCCCGCCAAAUUUGAACCCUAUUGCCCUUACCAAUCCUCAAAAUCAGUCCCUUCUUAAGCAACUCAAGCCCAUGCAUGAUACCCUGCCAGCAGACCGAAGUGUUCUUAAUAAACACCGUAUCGGCGAGCUCUCCGUUGGGAAAAUAUUUCGCUUUGAGAAGGCAGGUGUAGAGGGAGUCCGGAACCGUCAGAGGUCUCUGAAACCAAUGCUGCCAUGCAACUUAGGUUUUAUCAUUUUCUCCCAGCCCAGCCAGUGAACCUUCUUCUGAUUAGUUUCGUCUCCCCACCAGAAAUCACGAGACGAAUGUGAGAUGUCAACAGAGGUUAGGAGAGAACUUAAAGAUACUCAUUCCAUAGGUCGGCAUUGCCUGAAUGACAGACUUGAUAAGAACCUCCUUACCUCACUGGAUAAAUAUUUUUCACACCAAUCUGAACAACGCUUAGUAAUUUUAUCUUUGAUGGACUGAAACUUUUUGUCUUUCAUGCGACCCUCGGGAACUGGAAGGCUCAAAUAUUUCUCUUCAAAACUUGGCGAAUGUACCACCAAAAUAUUCAUCACCACAUUGGUGUUAUGCAGGCUGCACUUGUUACCCAUCAAGAUUGUGCAUUUAUUUGGACUGAGCAUCUGACCUGCCCCUUCCUCAUAACAAUUCAGCAAGUGUUUGAUCGUCUGAGCCAGGUCAGCAUUGGCUUUAAAGAAAAUGAGGCUGUCAUCGGUGAAAAGAAGAUGAGAAAUACCCAGGCUUCGGCAAAUGUGGAGCUUCUAGAUGCGUCCGUUGUUGAUUUCAUUCUGUAAAAGGAGCAAAAGACCGUCUGCCAUGAACAAAAAGAGAUAAGGCGAUAGUGGGUCUCCUUGUCACAGACCUCUGGUGGGUUGGAAGGCCUACAGCAGAUCCCCAUUCAACCACACACGGUAUUUAACAGUCUUGACACAUCACGUAAUCCUAAUUAAUCCAAAUCGGGGGAAAACCUAAACUGCUCAUUGCUUGUUCGGGGAAGGACCAAUCAACACGAUCAUACGCCUUGGCGAGAUCAAGCUUAUAAGCAAAAAACUGACCUCGAGCUCUUCUGGAUCAUGUGUAGGCACGCAAAGGCAAUGAGGCCACCUGAAUGCCUGGUACAUGCUAGAUAUGCUACUAACAGCUGCCAACCCGAACUGAUGAAUCAAUGAUCUCAUUGUUGGGUGUUGACAACGUUGUUAACACAUAGCUAAUUGUUAACACAUGCAAACUUCUUCUGGGUGCUACUUGUUGCUCCUUAGAGAUUUGUGAAUGCUAUUUUUUGAAUGGUAUAAAAAAUGCUCUUAGGUGCAAGCUUCCGCUACUGCUUGCAAUAUACACUACAAGGAAAAAAAAAUAAACAUAGCAUUAGCCACGAACUAUUGGUAACCAAGCUGUUUGGUAGCUAUAUGUAUAACUAUCACAACCAAAGUACUGGUAUGUACAUUGGUUACUAUACAUACGUUGUUGGUAGCCACGGAUAUGUCCUUUGGUGACAAUAAUGGCAAAAUUGGUCGUUAGAUAUUCACUAGGGACUAGAGUGUAGCGACCAAGAAAGGACCAAGUAGUGUCACUAACAAUAGAUCACAUAUUUAUGUUAACGAACUUAACAAGUGGUCGCGAGUAUUUAAAGAACCGAGCCGAACCAUGCUUUUAGAUCAUUAUCGAUAAUGAGCUUAAUGAUCUGCUCCUAGAAUGAUCCAAGCUUAACAAACCGAGUUGUUAACAAAACGAAAGGCUCAUUAGGUAGCCCUAAUUACACUAUCAUUGCCAGGAAUGGGUGAUGUGUGGUAGUAUCCAGGAAUGGGUGAUGUGUGGGACUGCCAGACUUAACACAAGGAAUUAAAUGUGCAAUAUUUACUUCUCUGUUUUUUAUGUCUAUAUAUUUAAGUUUAUUUCUUCUUAAAUGCACAAUAUUUACACAAUUAAAUGCACGACCUUAAAUAUAUAGGCAUAAAAAACAAAGGAGUAGAUAUUGUGCAUUUAAGAUAAAAUAUAACAUAUAUAUAUAUAUAUAUAUUCUUAAAUGCACAAUAUCUACUCCUUUGUUUUUUUUAUGUCUAUAUAUAUUUAAGGUUGUGCAUUUUGAAAAAAAAAUAUUUUUCUUAAAUGCACAAUAUUUACUUCUUUGUUUUUUAUGUCUACAUAUUUAAGGAUGUCUUAACUCAAAAUUUAUCAACUUUGAUAUAGUUUGUAGAAAAAAUCAACAUCAUUAAUGCAAAAUAUAUGCAAUAUGAAAAUAUGUUUAAUAGUAAUUGUAAUGGAAUAAAUGCAUACAACGUGGUAGUGUACUCCUGCCGGAUAACCUUAGCUACCAAGCAAACGCAAACUCUGUCUCCUCGGCCCUAUAAAUGGGGCGUGCAAUCCAGCGGCAGCCUCAGCAAAACACAAGGAUAUUUGCUUCAGAGAGAGAGAGACUCAAACUCUGAGUAAGUGAAGCACCUGAUAGAGAAAGAGAUAGAGAGAGGGAGAGAGAGUUUUGAGACCGGCUGAUCGAAAUGGCGAGGCAAGGCGUUUUCUCCAUGCUUGCUAUGGCAUUGCUCCUCGGAGCCUUGGUCUCCAUCCCAAAAGGUAAUCCACUCUCAUCAUCUUCCAUUCACCAUUGGAUACUUGAUCACCCAAUUUCCUUAAGAAGGCUAAUGAAGUUACUUGUGCAGGCGUGGAAUCCAUCGGGGUGUGCUACGGCAUUAGGGGCAGCAACCUACCGUUGCCGAGCACCGUGGUGAGCAUGCUCAAAUCCAACGGGAUCUCCUCCAUGCGCCUGUACGCGCCGGACCACGCCGUGCUGGACGCCCUGCGUGGCACGAACAUCAGCGUCGCCAUUGGGGCACCCAACGACGCGUUGCCUGCCCUGGCCGGCAGCAAGGUCGCGGCCGCCGCGUGGGUCAAGGACAACAUCAACACCCAAGCAUACCCCACGGUCUCCUUCCGCUACGUCGUCGUGGGCAACGAGGUCGCAGGUAACCUCACGGCGCACCUCGUCCCGGCCAUGGAGAACAUGCGCCACGCGCUCGAUGCCGCUGGGCUGGGUCACACCGUGCUGGUCACCACGUCUGUGUCGCAGGAAAUCCUGCACGUGUACAGCCCUCCCUCCGCGGGGAACUUCACCGCCGAGGCUGACUGUUUCAUGAGCCACGUGAUCCCCUUCCUGGCACGCACGGGCGCGCCGCUCAUGGCCAACGUCUACCCAUACCUGGCCUGGGCGUGGAACACGAGCGCCAUGGACGUCAAGUACGCGCUCUUCACCGCGCCCGGCGUCGUCGUCCAGGACGGUGCCUACGGGUACCAGAACCUGUUCGACAUCACGGUGGACGCCUUCUACGCGGCCAUGGACAGGCACAACGGCGGGUCGCUUGUGAGGCUCGUGGUGUCCGAGAGCGGGUGGCCGUCGGCCGGCAACAAGGAGGCGUCGCCGGACAACGCGAGGGUCUACAACCAGCGCCUCAUCGAGCAUGUCGGCGGCGGCACGCCGCGACGCCCGGUUGCCAUUGAGACGUACAUCUUCUCCAUGUUCAACGAGGACCAGAAGGCGACCGGUGUGGAGCAGCACUGGGGCCUCUUCUACCCCAACAUGCAGCACGUUUACCCCAUCAAGUUCUCAUAGCUUUCUUUUUGGAGAGGAGCUUCUGAUAGCUAUAUAGCUGCGAGCCUGGAGGAUGAACCAGCCCACUGGAGCGCAAGACUCGGCCCCACAAGGCUUCGACAACUUCCAGCCCGUGUACGCGGUGCCGAAUGGCGUACCUGAGUCGCUGGCUAUUUGUAGCUUUCCUUUUGCCCAAAUUUUUUUUGUAGCUUUCCCCUACCUUCCUCCUCCUUGGCUUUCUUGUAACAGGCGAUGCCUUAAUAGACUCUAGUGAAUUCGAAUUCACCGCAGCAAUUCCGCGAGCACAAUCCCUCGAUCUCGCUACUCCUGUGUGGUGUUAACUCUGGUAUCAGAGCUGCAAUCCUAGACAAAAAAAAUUCACCGCCUACCCAUCCCCACCAGACUUGUAGUGUCGUUCGCCGACGAGCUAUGGAGGUCGAAAGCUUCACCGGUUUGCAAAAUCAUGGAGAACCAGAAGAACACACUCUCGGAUGCGUUGGAGGACCAGCGACGGUGCAGCGAGAAAGUUCUCACAUCUGUGGGGGAUCUACAGAUUCAGGUGGAUCGCGUCCUCAACACAUCACGGCGCACGGCGUCUUCUCCGCAUGCGCCGCUGGAGGACAUGAUCGGCCCUCAUGGGCACGGUGAUGACAAGCUUGACCGGGGGAAUGUACAUGAUACUUCUGAGGUAUAUGUCCCUCCUCCGGCGAGAGGUGCGCGUAGCUCCCGUGCCGAAUCCCCUCCCUCUCGCCGUAACUCACCUCCCCCACACCACCGCACUAGCUAUUCCCCGCAUGGAUAAUUUCCCACGAUUUGAUGGAUCCUGCCCCAAGUUGUGGCAGCAUCGGUGUGAGGAUUAUUUUACCUUUUAUGGUACCAAUAGAUCGAUGUGGAUCACCCACGCGUAUCCUCUUGACUGAUUGCCUGCAGAAUCUGGAAGACCAGCGCCCGCCGUAUUGCCAAAGUCUUAACCCUUCCUCGCGCUCGAAGGUUCCUGGACACCAUCAAGAAAAAAUGGCAGCACGGCGGCCCUUCGUUUCCGCUCGUCGGCCCAAGCGAUGCUGGCAUGGCUUCCCUUGGAUUUGUCUCACCGGCCCGCGCACAACACCCGCAAUAAGCGCCAAGGUCUUGUUGCUGUUCACGCGAGGUUUUUUGUUUAGGCGUAUUGGCUUUGGACUGAGUGCCAUCGGGCUACGGAGCUAUGAGCAUAAAAGGCGUCACAUUCCCUAGCCACCGUCGUUCCCCCAACCAGGCCAGGCCAGGGGCAACCAGUUUGCGUCGACCCGGACCGCGGACGGAGCGUCAUCUCGUCCGCCCUAGCGCCAUACUGGCCCGCCCAUCAGCCACAUAGCACAAAGCCGCCCCAUUUCCAUCCUCAGACCCUAGCUCUAGGCCCCGCCGCCGCCGCCCUCGCUGCUGCCUUUGCAGCCGCCCGAUCUCUCUGCCGCGCCUAUCUCGCCGCCCAUCGGCGGAGACCGUGGACAGCAGUCGCCGCCGCCAGCCGCCGCGACGCCAUGGCCGAUAGCGACUCCGAGUUCUUCUUCAAGCACUUCACGGACAGCGACGACGAGGACUCCGACGGCGAUGGCUGGUGAGUGCUGCUCUUUGGUACCGUCAGCAUAAUCAGGUCCGGCGUCCAACUCGUCGGGGGUCAAUUAGGGGCCGUGCUUACGUGCUGGCCUGCAACAGACAAGCCGGCCAUCUUCUUCUUUUCAGUGAUUACUUUCAUCGCACAAAUCCAGUAUUUCCUGCCCACCUGUUCCAACGCCGGUACCGGAUGGGGCGGCUGCUGUACAAGCGUAUCAUGCAAGACGUUGCCGUAUACGAUGAUUACUUCAUUUGCAAGCCGGAUGCCUGCGGUAGGAUUAGGUUUUCCAGUUAUCAGAAAUGCACGGCGGCAAUUCGGAUGAUGUCAUAUGGAGUUGCCGGCGACAGUCUCGAUGAGCAUAUGUGGCAACAUGUAGGAAACCAGUAGGGAUUUCCUACUUAUUUGAGUGUUUGAACUAUAUUUGAAACAAUAUUUGUUUAAUUAUACUAUUUGUAUUGUAUGAUUUGUAAUAAUUCGGCACAUUUGUUUGAAUUUUAUUAGCUUUGUGUUUGUAUCUGAAAUUGCCACUAUUUUGGAGUUGAUGUGUUUGUCAGACCAAAAUGAGUCGCCCCGCUGGCAGCACUGCUCGACUCAAACGGACUGAGUCCGGACAGAUGCCCUUUUCUAUGCGUCCCACGAUCCAAACGACCACAAAUACUCGUCCGUCUCGGUCGCGUGGCUGGAGUUGCUCUUAGAUAUGGAUCUGCAGGUGUAUACCAGGCGGACGCACAAGAUACAACGCCACCGUUAAGCAAGUGCACGGUUGACCCUCAGGGUCAAGGAAACGAAAAAAAAGCAAUGGAAUAGUAUAAACGUGGCGCCAUGAGUUGCGCGGAAUACGCCUCCACCAGUGUCAGCGUUUGAGGGUCGUCCCGAAUUGAUUGGCGGCGGGGCGGCUUGUGGAGGCAAGGCAACCGGCAACCGCGCAUGGUACGACCUCGUCCAGGAAGCGCCCAUCCUACCUACCUGCGCACCUACCGUACCGUGUCAAGGUCCAACCGCAACUAGUCUACACGUCCAACGUUUUAGACCGCAUCGCCUUGCUGCUUCUUCCCUUCCUUGGGUCUCUGCUCUGCCCUGUUCUUUUAUAUAACAUGUGGAUCAGUCUUGCUCUCCUUAACAGCAACCACCGACACUCUGCAACUGCAGUUUCUUCUACUGAUCACAAGCCAGCCAUGAUGAUUCUUCAGGUCACGUUACUUCUCCUCCUCCGUGCGGCGACCGGCUCCCAGCUCGACGCUCUGGCCGCGUCGUGCUCCGGCUCGCGAACCUUCGCCGCCGAUAGCUCCUUCGCCAGCAACCUCCAGAGCCUGAUGUCCCUCCUGGAGACCAAGGCCCCGGCCAUCGGCUUCGACAUCGGCACGGCAGGCGGCCGCGGCGACCAACGCGUGCACGGCCUGGCCAUCUGCCGCGGCGACAUUCCCAGGGCGAGCUGCGCCGAGUGCAUCCGCUCCGCGACGGGCCAGGCCCAGCGCCUCUGCCCAUCCAAGAAGGAAGCCGUCCUCUGGCUCGACGGCUGCAUGCUCCGCUACUCCGGAGAGCCGUUCUUCGGCGAGGUCGACGCCGACCACGUCACAUUCGUCCCUGAAGCUGCGGGCAACAGCGUGAUCCAGAGCGCAGCGACAACAUCGGCCGAUCUCGACAGGGAAGUCGCGGCCAUGAUGAAGAGGCUCACGAGGACGGCGUACCUCUCGCCGCUGCUGUUCGCGGCCGAGGCGGGCGGCGGGUCGAAGCAGCAUAGGCUGCACGGACUCGCGCAGUGCACCAAGGAUCUGUCCGGCGGCGACUGCAAGCUCUGCCUCGAAGCCGCUAUUGGUAGACUGGCGGCGAGGGGAUGCGCCAAGGAGGGAGGGCAAGUAUUCGGUGGAAGCUGCAGCUUGCGGUAUGAGGUGUAUCCGGUUUUUGAUUCCUAGGUUGGUGCCUUCAAUCGUUGUUUUGUAAGCUGUAAUUAACGUGUGAGGUUACCAUGUCCAUAUUGUUCAUACAAAUUCUCGUGUAUACGUGCAAAUACAAGAAAGUGCGAUUUCUGCUUCAACUUUGGAUGGAGUGCUUUGACAUUCUCCACUUUCAUUAGUUUGACCCAUUUCUAUUUUCAAUGGUGGACCACACAUGGAGGUUAUAAUUAAGGGUGUGCGCUUCGAAAACCAACUUUAAGCCAACAGUCCAAAAUACUGUCACACCAGGACGAAUAGGCAUUUUUCUGGAUUUACCGAGAGUGUGGCCGCAUCCUAUCCUAUAUACUCGUGGGGUUAUAAUUUGCACUAAAACCACGAUAAAUAUUUAGGAACGAAGAGCAUACAUACAUAAUUGCUCGUUUUACGUUGCGUUUGGCACCACGAUGGAGUCCAUAAUCAUGAUUGCUUCACCCGCUUUUGUUUUUAUUGUUUGGCUUAUUCAUGUAUAUUAUGUCAUGAUAAAUUAUCGAGUAAGUUUAUAAUAGUAUAGUUCAGCAACCAUAAAUCGAGACUUAGAAUUAAGUUGGACAAAAACAAAAGGAAAUUAAAUAAGAAAUUUAUUGCUUGUGGUUGUCCGAGUUUACGAAUGCAUAACUAAUAGAUCGAGGCACUAUAUAGCAAAAUAAUUGGAGCACCAAAAUUUCAACUGAACUUUAUAGGUACAUCCGUAUAUGACAUGCGUGUGUAAGCUGAUGGAUCAGUUCGGACUGGAAUGACAGAAUGGUGUUCUGAUUCCCGUCAUUAGUGAUACCAAUUCCUAUUCCUAAUCGUCCCUAAAAUCGGAUGAAUACUACACUACUACAAGUUGACUUCAAUAGUUUAGCAUCGAGAGACGUUAUGAAAAUCGUAGGCAUCGAUAAGCAUCUGCUCCCUCCAUUUCUAAAUAUAAGAAGUGCUAUCUUUGUGCUAAGUAUGAUCAAGUUUACAAUUUCUUUUUUUUGACCAUUAAGAUCUACAAUAUCAAAUGAGUAUACUAUGAUAUACAAUAAACUAAUUUAGAUCCCUCUAUAAACUAGGUCAAACGUGUAAGACUUUUGACUUAUGACAAAACAAGAACUUAUAUUUAGGAAUGGAUGUAGCAUGUUCUUUAGGGGAUACAAGCAAUUGAAGCAACACCUUAUAUAUAAGACAAAAUAAAAAGAAUAAUAUGGUUUGCGUACAAGUAACAGGUAAAGAAGCAUACACAAACUUGUAAUUAGCAGCAAACAGAUUUGUGUGUGACAGGUAUGCAAGGAGAAUAGUAAUUGGCAAGUAACGUGGCGUCAUAGUCAAGUUGCUCGAGACUACCCUAGUUAAUCCCAGGCAUAAUGAAAAUUAGCACUUAUUGAAUUAUUGGAGAUAACUUAGUUAACAGAGAGCGUACUCUGGCACCGACCACUGAACCCGAUACUCAGUUACACAAGCUAUUCAAAACUUUGGUGGAGGAUGUUUUGAGCGAUCAUGCAAACUUUAUGCAGUGUUACAAAACACCGUCACCAAGACAAUUGUAAACCUGCAGAGCAGCAGAGGCUAGGUCGUUUUACAAUUUUGACUAGCACAAGCCUAUUGGACGACCUGUCUUUGAUAAAUUUGGCAGGGUAAUUACAUGCACACUAUGGAACACAAGGGACAAGGGUCAGACUCUACACACUAAAAUCAGAGGGCCGCUCCAUCGAGUAGACAAGAGGUAAAAUCAUUGUUUGCCAGCUCAAUUUUGUCAGCCUUGACAACUGCGCUUAGUAGAAGGGGUGCAAAGCUCCGAUGAGGGCCAUAGAAAUGAGGAAAGUAGUUAGAAUCAUCAGAUGCCUCAUAAAUUAACCCAUCUGCAAGCUGAAAAUCACAAGACGAGCAAUUGUAUAUGUAAAUGCCUUUGUAGAAUAAGUAGUACAUGAAAUCUGCAAAAUUAUGAACUUGGAGUACUAUAUAAAAAUUUAUCCAUCUAGAGAAACAAGCAAUCAAUUAAUACAUGGCAGUUUAUGCAUGUGUCCUAACUCCCAGAUAUAAGUAAUAAACAUGAGCACUAAAGCACAGUAAAUGCAUAUCUUAAAGAUAGAUAUACAAAAAAUUGGUAAUUUCCUCAGUAACAACAAGAGGAUGAAAUAUAAUGGAAUUUUAAAUAUCAAUAGUACCAUGGCAGUGUCAAUUUGUAGCAGGUACAGAUCAGUCCGUCCAAGGAAGAAAUUCUUUAGUGUCAUCUUCACCUACACCAGGUCAACGAUUAGUUAAAACUUGGUUUUUCAAAAGGAUCAAGAUAUAAAUAAAAGAGACAAAUAUGGAUGGAUGGAUGGAUAUGACUCACAGAUGGAAAUCAAACAAUGUCCAUUGGAAUAUCACUAUACCUUGUGAAUACGUAAACCAUCACCAAAUUAAUAGAGGAGUAUUCUGGAGAAGAUGUGCAAAAAAUGUUUUUUUCAUGAAAACACAUCCAAGAAUGCAUCAUAAGUUUGAUUAAAUUUCUUAAUACAAUAAAUUUACAGAUUUUGAUCUUCUUUUGGUAUACGCUAUUGUUCUUUUCAAUAGCAUUGAUCUACAUAUCGUUUUCAUAAAUAUUUCUUCAAGUGCUUGCCAGUAUCUGGCGGAUCACUACUCAGCACCAUCCUUGAUCCUUGUUAAUAGAAAGAUUCAGUCAGAAAAGUUGUGUACUGCGGAUUAUUAGGUGGAACUGGAGCAAUAAGCCCCAAACCUCUACGCGGCAAGCGCCAAAGGCACACCAAACCUUUGCAUGCCAAAGCUAAUCAAAUAGGACCAUCGAGAAGAGAUCAAAGUCCUGAAUCAGCAAAAGCAACAAAACAUUAAGGAUAUUGCACCUUCCAACAACAUGUAAACUCAUGAGUGCAUAGUCAACCCCUAACUCGAUACCGCAAAUUAAGAAAAAAAAAGGCAGAAAUCUACCGAGAUAUCAGAGAAAGAAUACACAUCUGAGAAACGAGAGAUUUUUAGAGAGCAUAAUUGAAACAAAUCAAAGAGAUAAUUUUAAAUGGGCAUACCUGGCUUAGGUUGCUGAGGUGGAUGCAGCCAGUGGAGCGGUCAAGGUCGCCGCCGAGGGUGCAGCCGGUGCGCUCAAGUUCGGCCCACUCAUCACCUGUGCUGAUCCGAUACACAAACUCUUGUGGUAGCGGCUUAGCCAUUGCAGUGGUGUGCUAAGAAUUUCUUGUAACACCUCAGAUAUCAACCCAACCUGGACUGCAACCACAAUCACUAAGUCCGGAAAUUAUUAGAAUUAUUGACAGAGUUUCUCUUGUAUAAAUGAACAUCCAGGACAGGCCGUUAAUAGAGAUCAAUGCUCCACUCCACAAUAACCAGGCUACUAGCAGCAAGCAAUCCUAAUUCCUACCUCCGAACUUUGAAGUACUUGCUCACAACAAAAUGUUAACAGCAUGCAAUCGAGUGUAGAAUUAUUCAACAGAAAAUCAUGCUUCUCCUGUAAUGUUACGGACCGAAGCAAUUAUUCACCAGUACUACUCCACCUUAGCUUCAUAGAUUAUUUUCUGAAGAACAAAUCUUGUCUUGGUUCAAGCCCAACAGCAAGCAUAACUGCAUAAGUACUGCUCCAACCAAGCGGCACUAGAAGUACUAGGAAGAACGCUACAUCAAACAAGCGCAGGUAAAGCGUCGAGUACCUGCUCAAGAGGUAACACGAUCCCAGGGACGCAGGCGCCCGGCACGCUCCUGCGCGAUGGUGGCUCGGCGUACGCGAAGAACGGUAGGCAGCGACGCUACCUGAUGAGAUGGCAGCGGCGGAUGGUGAGCUCGGCCUGGACGGCGUUUGGCGGUUGGCAGCGGCGGCGGCGGAGCCAGCGGAAGAACCCUAGGCGGCCUGUGGCUGGACUGUACGUCUGUACUGGUUUGGGCGGCGAUUUCUGCGGGCAGGAGAGAGAACUUGCUGCUCUGGCCAUUGAGAAUUUCUUUCUUUCUGUUUAGUCCAAAAGAUUUUUUAAUUAUGAAUACAUCUGGGCUCGUUCGGCUUGUAGGAUGUCACAAGAUUUUAGAACUUAGAAUUUUUUUUCUACAUGUAUUGCAUAUACGGUUUAGGAUUUUGAAAUCAUAAGAACGUGAAAAGUAAAAAAUUGGGAUGUCACGGACACUUCAGUUAUUAUCAAUUUUUCAUGGAGUAGAUACACUCAUGAUCACUCACUCACGGUCACUGAACAUGAUUUUGAUUCUUAAUUUAGUCACUGUAUUUUGGAAAUCAAAAGUUACGGUCCAUGAACUCGACGAAAUAUCCCACAUACGGUCAUUGGUACCGUAUUUUGUAUGUAUGGGUCCGCAGCCUGUGCCAGCAGCCCAGCUCAGUUUGGAUUUUUGCAUUUUCCCCUAAAAAAUUGCAGAAAAUGCACUUCGGUCCUCGUGGAUCAUUUUUCGGGGGGCAAAAUGCAAAAAUCCAAGCUGUGCUCGCACAGGCUACGAACUCGUAGGUAAAAAUACGGUACCGUUGACCGUAUGUGAGAUAUUUCGUCAAGUUCACGGACCGGGAUUUCCAAAAUGCAGUGAUUAAAUUGAGAAUUGAAAUCAAGUUCAAUGCAUUUUACUCUUUUCCAUGAGAUCACACCUAGGCCUCAUUCGAUUUGCGUGUUUUAUGGUGAAAUUUUACGGGAUGUCAACCCUUAGGCUUUUUCGUAUGGGUAACAUUCAUUUCAUAGAAAUAGAAAUACUAGAUUGGAUUGUGUCUAAAUUAAACUAAUUCGUAUAGAUUCUUAGCAUUAGGUAUUAUCUCAUGGAAAAAUCCUAGGAGUUUAAAUGUGCAUUCCUCUAGAAACUAACAAACUGAAUGAGCACAUAUCAUUCUUUUCACAGGAAUAGAGAUGCUAGAUUCCUGAUUAAUUGUGUUCAAAUUGAUUCUUAUCAUUAGGUGAGACCUCAUGAAAAAAUUCAUUGAUUUAAGUGUGCAUGAUAUCUCAAUCUCCUACUUUCUUGUUCCAAUGAUUUCAAAAUUCUGUAAACCGAAUGAGUCAUAAUGGUUAAAGCUAAACUUCCUUAAAUUUUAUUCGAACUGAAAUUGGACAAAUUGAUAUAGUCUAUGUCAAUAUAUUGGUUUGAAAUCAACUUUUGAUCGUUUAUGUGAAAAUUGUUGUUUAUAAUUCUGAUUUUCUUUUCCACGGGGGCUUAUAGUCCCAAGGUUACAUUGUUAAAGGUUUUCUUUAGGCUAUGGAAAGAAUUUUCUUAACUACUAUACAAACUUCUUGUUUGUGUACUUUUUCAUUUUGAUAGGAACAUAGGAAUUUCAUUAACUCAUAGCCAUGGACAAAUCGUUAGCACACAUGGUGUUGUUUGUGGAUUUUCCUUUUGUCAUCUCUGUAUUUCUUGAGGGGUUGUUCCAAAUUCGACCCUAGGCUCUUGGCACCAAACCAUUUUCUCUUUGUCAAAACAGGUCACAGUAUCUAUUUUCAUUGAAGAGAGCAUAAGAUGGCGUAAACAGGUUGUUAGAAACCGGGCAUGUCACAUCAACAAAAGAACAAUAUCAUGUUGGAGUCACUACAAUGAGUAUUGAACCUAUCAAGAAUAAGCUUAUGAACAUGCAUGGAACACAGAAACAUGGAACUGAAAGAGCCCCUCCAUUCGACUAGGUUCAUCAUUCAUUUGCAGGUUCACCAUUCUUCCGCAAAACAUAUUAGCGCAACAUUGGCGCUUUCCGGGGCCAGUCAAGUCUGUCAAGAGGCCCAGAGCCUCUCCAGGCCUCGCUCGACCGAGCACUCAGGGGAUGCUACCGAGAAAAGAAAAGUUUGAUCUAUCCAGGGGAUGGUACUGAGAAAGAAAAGUUUGAUCUAUCCAAGGGGAUGGUACUGAGAAAGAACAAGUUUGAUCUAUCCAAGGGGAUGGUACUGAGAAAGAACAAGUUUGAUCUGGAGCAGUAGGGUUGUCUCUGUGUGGGUUGCUCUUAUGCUACCUUUCUGGGGUAUCUUUUGGUUAUCUUUCUCUGUCUGUCCGGUUGGGACAACUCGUACUUGGAUGAUAACUUUGUUUCAUGCUUCGCAAUCCCUCCAUUGCAAGUUACAGUAAUUCCUCCAUGCUCCGUUGCAAGUUAUAAAAUGCGAAAUUGAUUUCACACAAUAAUAUUAACGAUGUUAUAUGUCGAAAAUAAUAAUGAUAAGACUAAAUGGUCAAAGUUAGGUGCAACUUGACUAACAGUUUGGUUUCAGCACUGUAGGCUGAGGUCAAGGUAACUAAUAACGGCACAUAGGCUAUACAUGAGUAGUAGUUCCAUAACAAAAGCUAAAUGACAUGGAUCAAGCAUUGCAGGGUUUCUCUAUUCAUUUCAAUCGUCAGUUUAGUCGAUCAGUCAAAUCAUGAGGUGUUGCUACUCUGGCCUGAAUCGCAGACUUCGGGCAGUGCAAAGCUGAGGGUGAUUAUACGGACCCGGAUAUCGAGGAGGCGCUCCUUGAAUUCCUGAAAACUGCUGGCUACGAUGAUAGUGAAUUCCUAUCCUGGCAUUGUAUGGAGGAUGGCCAAAUGAAUCAGCAUGAAAAUGAGAUAGCCUGGGCUGCUUAUGAUAUCUAUGCUGCCUCAUCUCUUGUGCUCUUCGCUGCUGCUGCUGCUUGUGAUAAUUUCUCUUGCGCUUCUUGUUAUACCUCUUCUCUCCUAACAUUUGCCGACUCCCUUCUUGUUUAGGUACCUCUUGUUCCUUUUGCUGGUAGUGGUGCUCCUCAUCUGGUUUUGGCUGCAGGUCCUGUGUCCUUUGGUGCUGCUUCUCUUGGAACUUCUGGUGCUGCUCUUCUUCCAAAGUUUUUAGAUGCUUCUCACACUGCUCCUGAAGAUUGUGCUGCUGAUGUGGACUCAAAGCGGACAAACAAGCCACCGGUAUACUUCGCCUUUUGCGUGCAUAUUCAUGUAAUAACUGAGUAAUUUCUGCCUUGAUGCUGGUUCGGUGGGCAGAAUCAAUAUUGUACUCAUCAACUGCCCUCCAUGACGAUAUUAGGGCAUUAACCUGCUUUGUCAUGGCCUGGUUCUGAUCAAGGGAAGAUGAAAAGAAAUUAAAUCAGUUGAAAGGAAGUAGUAUAUACAUAUGGGAGCAACAACUUGCUCCUCUGAAAAAACAACUUAUCCUGUGAAAUGACAGGAUGCUUUUUCCACAAAGUGAAUAUAACUUAUUUUCAAAGUAAGAUGAGAGUCUAUUAUAUAAGUACUCCCUCCGUCCCAUAUUAAAUGACUCAAAUUUGUCUAAAUAUGGACGUAUCUGUAUACUAAAACACGGCUAGAUACACGUAAUAGAAAGUCACUUAAUAUGGGACGGAGAGAGUACUAACUACUCGACAGCAUACAAAUUAUACUGCUUUUAUAUUUGUGCAAAUUAUACAAAUUCAGUGCUUUUGAAAAGCGCUGAAAGCUGCUUAGUCACCUUGUAUCAGUGAGUACAGAUUUUGAAUUGAAAUUCAGAGUUUUGAGAGGUAAAGGAAAUACUACAAGUGCUAAAGCAGAUGACUGCAUUGUUCUUUCUCUAGCCACUUCCGUAUGAAAUUCACUAUUAUAAGGGAAAUUUAAUCCGACAUCUGUCAAUUACUUCUAAUUUCAAGAUAUAGGACAAACCAGAGACUCCGGUGAACCGUUUUCCUUGUUUAUUAUCUCUUGAGCAGUCUUCUUAGCCUUAUCAACAUAUUCAUUCAUGAUGUAAAGUGGAGGAUAUUUGUCAGUCAAAUUCAAAACGCAUGCAAGCCUGAGAGCAUCAGGCUCUUGCCCAUUUUCAAUCAGAUGAUUGAUUGAGUCUGCAGAACAAUGACUAAACAUCAGAAGCGCAACUGGAAAGCUAGUAGCACAAAAAGCUAAAAUUGCAGUUAGCAAAUCUAAUAUUUAAGCUAGCAGUUUAGGGGUAUGAAGAGUUCAAAAGAUAUUCUACAACAAGUAAACUGCAAAAGAUACAUUAGUAAUUUUUUUUAUCAGUAACAGACAUUAUUAUUGCAAGAUGUGCAUGCACGCAUGAUUACAGUAGAAUGUAUACUUCAGCUUGAUAUUUACAAAGUAGUAGUAACUUGCGCAGUUGACACAAAUUAUGCUUCGAGAGAAGGUGAUAAGUUGAACAAUACGACUUGGGACUAGUACCAAACCAAUGUAAGAUCUCACAAAAAAAUUUAUUAGAAUGGUUGGAAAAUAUGUCAAGGACUUGUUCGAAAUGCCACAGCUGUUUCCUGGCAAAUUAUGGUUUUCCAAGCUGACCCAAAAAUGCCACAGCGAUAAAAUUUUAAUUUUACAGCUAGAGAUUGGUAACAUCCAAAUAAUUGAAUAUAAUAUAAAUGCAACUAGUUUCUGUCACCUUCCGUACAUUUCUUGUGUUCAUCUUAAUUUGUAUGGCAAGAGGUGCAAACAGGGAAACUCUUCCUACAGAGACUGCUCAGAUUGGUCAAUUACUUCUCUAGCUGGUGCCUGCUAGCAUGCUGAGUUGCUGACCAUAUUGAGAAGGCCAUCGUAGAGGUGCAGAGAGAUCACAUGGAACAGUAAGGUCCAUCUUAUAUGGUCAUUAGCUGCCAGAAUGUUGACAGCGUUUGUAUUUGAAGAUUUAAGUGUGGAGAGCAUUGGUUCACAUCCCAACAAUGAGCAAGCCGCAACGUCGACCACCCCUUCGUGGACACACUACCGAAAGUAUCUUAAUAAGCCACAUGAAAAUGACAAAGAUAGGUUUGCCAUUCUGUAGUCUUUUGGUAAGAUAUAACUAUAAUAACUAAUGGUUGAAGCUAGUUUUGGAGACUGUCAGUGUGCAAAAUGAUAUCUGCGAAAUUAAAUAGCAUCUGCGAAGCGGUUUUGCCCAGGUUGAAUCCAACCCGUAGUUGAACACCCCUACCACUUAUAGAAAGGCAACCCGAGGGGACUUAAGUUAACAGGGCUUUGCAAGACAAGCUCAUCGUCAACAAGGUGAAGUGAUGCCUGAUGUCACCGAUUAAUGAAUAACCAUGUAAGCGAAAAAUAUGCUAGUGGACUGUGGCAUACAUUAACUAUAGCUUCAUAAAAUUGUGAUUCAGAGCGAGAGGCAUCCCAGCUUACCAGUCAUCUUGUGAAUUAGCCCAAGACGAUUGCAGAGCUCAAUGCAGUUUUGCUUUCUGUGGCGUGGGAUGUUGCCAACGUGAUGGAUAAUCUCACUAGCAUCGAACUCCAAGGCAAUGUUGUAUGAGACCAGAAAUCCAAAAAGGCCAAAUAUGGCCAGCCGGCCAAGGUCCUUGCAACUUUCAGGCUUCCCGAUCAUCUCCUUCCAGUCCUCUGCCAGCCGAUAGGCGUGCUCCAGCGUGCCCACAGACGGCUCAGCAGUAAGUUUGCGAACACAGCAGAGCAGCCAAGAGCAGUUCUCCCAUUGCUUGUCGCCCUUGGGCUCGGCUCUGGCCAGGAAGUCCCUGAUGGCACCGACGACGAAGGCGUGGGGCUCGGGGCAGCCCCGCAACGCCGGGAGGAAAUGGCGCCUGGCGCGUAAGCAUCUCUUGUUGCGCCAGCAAAGAAUCUCCGCCAUCGUCGAUGUGUCCAUGUUGACGCUCGCCGCCACGAGAUCCCGCCUAACGGCCGCCUCCGCAGCGCCGCCGACACUUGCAAAAUCCGGAAUAAUCGGGCAUCCCCACUCCUUCUCCUUCAUCACCCCGUUGCUUCGGGAAGCUGACGGCGCCUCCAUGGCUUCCUUGGCGUUCUCAUUUUCCUCCUUCAGUCCAAGGCCAGGGGACGCAUCGAUUGCCUCCUCCUCAUCGUCUUCUGGUUCUGGGCCGGAAGACGCCUUGAUUGCCUCUCCCUCAACUUCGUAUACUUGGUCGAGAUACACCUCGAUUGGCUCCUCCUCCCUCUCCUGCUCCUCCUCGUCAUUAAGGUCUGAAGGCGCCCUGUUCGUCCGCUCCCCCUCCUCUUCAUUGCUGUCUUGACCCUGGUCCCUCAUGGGGUGCUCGACGUGGGACUCUUGGUCCUCCUUGCCCUGGUGCUCUGCGGGGCCGGUGGUGGUUAGGGCGGAGUGCUGGAGACCCUGGAGCUGGCGGAAGCGGACGUCGAUGGAGGACUGGAGGGAGGAGAUGUGAGCGUCGAGGUCAUCCCAGUUGAACGGGAUGGGGAUUGGGGCGGACGCAACGAGGCGGUCGAAGGAAUCCCUGAGAUGCUGCUUCUUCGCCGGGAGGGCGGCGAUGGCGGCCUCCAGCUCCGCGGUCGCCGACGCCAUUGGAGGCCGGUUGGGACGACUGGGGACCGGAAUUGAAAGGCGGAGGGGAGGUUGGUUGGGGUUUUAGAGUGUCAGGCUUUCUUCCCCUCAAUUGCGAUCUACGGAGUAAUUGUCAAUGCAGGAGUAACUUAUUUGGUUUUUUUCUUUCGGAUAACCCAGAAUCUUUUUCUUUUAUCCUGUUGAUUGAUAGAGGGUGGUUUUUGAUUUUGUGUUUUUUUUCUUCUUCUUUCCUUUUCUUUUCUCGACUUAGUGACAGCGGCGAGUCACUCUAAAAUGAUCCUAGACUCCUGCUACUUAUUCUAGGAUUUGCAAGUCGAGUUAACUCUAUCUUAUUUGUGUUCGUGUUGGCGCUGAGUCUUUUAUUUCGCAAGAUAUUAACAUUGUAACCAAUUAACAAAGCUCACCAGUUAAAGAAAGCGUUGUUUAUCUAUCCCUCCAAUUCUACUGGUAGGCUUACUUAGAAUAAUUUUUUAGUGGAGUUUAUUUCUCUUAACAAUAGCUAAAUGCACGCGGGUUGCUAUCGAAUUAUUAUUUCUUGUUUUGCAUAAGUUGCUUAGAUGUGUUUCUGCUUUUAUUUUACCACAUUUAUUCAAUUAUCUCAAAUGUAAAUCAAUCCAAUCAAUUAUAGUCAAAAGAGCAUGAUAGAUAUAUCUACCAUAUUGAAUGGGGUCAAUUGCAUUCACUUCCUACCAAUACAUGGAAUACGUUCAGUGAAGUGCACACGUAUGGUCAACAACCCAGAUUUUUAUAAGUAAAAAUAUUUUUAAUAGUCCUCGUGACGUUUUAGCGGUCAACUCUUUCUGUUGCUGUUUCUAUCCCUAGCAUCGGGAUGCUCCAUUCAAAUGUUCAUUGUAAUGUUUAACUUGAUCUCCUAUAGCAUAUUUGAGGUUAUCUUGUAUCAAAGUCAUGUUUCAUUCCAUGCAACAGAGGCAAACCAAUCCAUCUCAGCUUUUGGUGCAUGUACUUAUGAUUAUGUUAUUUCUAAUGUUUUUCAUUUUAGACAAAAAUGACAAGUCAAGAAACAUUUGUGGACCGUAAUCAACCUCGGAACACAAGACAACCCUUCUUAUGAAAGAGAAUUGCGUAUUAAUGAGAUCGAAGAAAUGAUCUUUGUUUUUAUGGAGAUGUCAGAUUAAAUUCAACAGAUAGCUAAAACAAGAAGGAAAAUGUGAGACUUGACAUGAGUGAAGUAUUUAGGGAAGUUUCAAUAAAAUGAUUUGUAUCUAACAGAUGGUAACUAUAUAAAUGAUGACUUGUAAACAAAAUUAAGGAGGUACGAGAUAUAUCAUAUUCAGUGCAGAGUUGAACACUUCAAUCAUAUCCACUAUAUCUUAAGUAAACUGAUGAGAUAAAAGGUGGAAACUCUAAUCACUUAAAUAUAUUUUAUGAAUACCUCCCGAAAGAAUCCCAUCUCAUGCGUUUUUCAUAAAUUGUCUUCAAGUGAUUAGAGAUUCCACCUUUCAUCUAAACCAUUUAUUUGAGAUCUAAUGGUUGAGAUCGGAAGUUUUCAACUUUUCAUUGAAUAAAGGUUUUCACCUGAUAUAUCCUCUUUCACCUGAUAUAUCCUUUUAUCACCUUUAUCUCAUAACUUUAUAUAAAUUCAUUAUUUUUGAAAUUUAUAAUAAUGCCACUAAUUCCCCUCAAGUUAUGACCAUGCCAUUACUUUAGAGCUAAUUGUCAAAACGUCAUUGGUCUGUUUUCUUAUGUUUAUGCUAUGCACAUUAGUAGGUGUUAAAUCAAAUUACUUUUGUGCUAGUCACUUCUUUCGGGGGUGGUCCUGGAUUCUUGCUACUCAUUCUAGGUUUAUCCUCUUGCUAGGUUUUGUGGGUCGAGUGAACUCCGUCUUACUCGUGUUUCUGUUGGAAUUGAGUCUUUUUUUUGCAUAUUAACCUUGUCGCUAAUAUAGCUCACCGUUUCUGAAAAGGUCACUUACCUAUCUCCUGAAUUCUGCUAGUAAUCUUAAUUAUAUAUUUUCAAUGGAGUCUUCUUCUUCUUUUUGGACAUAUCAAACAGUUAUUGUGACUAUCAGUCAAGUCUCUUGUUUGGGUAUUUCUAACCUUAACCUGGGGAAGCUCCAUUUCAAAUGAUUAUUGUAAUUUUUAACUUGGUCACCCUACAGUAUAUUCGAGGUUGUCUUUGUAUCAAGUCUUGUUACAUUCGAGCAACAGAGGCAAACAAAUACAUCUAUGUUUUUCGAGCAUAUAGAUGUGGUUGUAUUUUUUCCCCCUAAUAUUUUGGCUUUUAAAACUAACCAUACCCCUCAGAUUGUACAAACAUAAUCCAGAAUACUGCAACCACUUGUUAAAACAAACAUUUAAUUUAUCAGGUUUUGUUAUGAGACGAUAGGAGGGAUCAUAGUACAUCUGUCGCCGCGAUGGGGGAAACAAAACGAUAUACUCCCUGUAUUCCGAAUUAACUGACGUGGAUUUGUAUAAGAAUAUGCUACUCUGACAAAAAAAAAUCAAGAAAAUACUGCCAAAAUAACUUUUGCUUUGCCGUAACAGAUAUGCAUGAUAAAAACCGUAGAAAACUUAAGGGAGCACUGGCAUUCGCAUGAAUAAAUGGUCCGAGGGAAGACUGGUAGCAGUGUUAUAGACCCCCCGUUUUCUCUCAUAAAACAUUGAAAUGUCAGUUCAUUUAGAUGCAAGUGUAACAAGGAUUGUACCUUAAAGCUAUCUAAAACAUUAAUAUAGCAUCGUCAGAUUUGAUGGCACAUCCAUACAGAUAGGCUAUUUGUGCUUCACCACAAACUUGACGGAUAUAUGCAUGUUAAAACAAGUAAAAAAUCAUUUUAGCUCGGCUAUUUGUGAAUUCCUCGUCAAGCCUGUAGCAGAAAAUUAUCAAAUCGGUAUUUCUGGAUUUUUCACAUCUUUAUUGCUGUAGUUGCAGGUCCAAGAUGAACAUUGCUGUUUAGUUUCUGCAAGACAAGCUGGAUUGUGGAAAGUAAGGCCAUGCGAGGCUUAAUGAAUCAUUAUUGCUGCUUACUCCAAUCCAAAACAAGCAUCAAAACAUAGGCUAGCGUGAGAGGUAACGGAGAGCAAGCAACAAGUCUGCUAGCCCCCGACAAGUGGAGCUUAAGCAGACGUACCUGAAAAAAAUGUCAGCUCAUAGGUUAGCUCAAAACGUCGAGGUGAUAGCUUGAGAUCCUAAUCUGACUGAAUUGUUCUGAGGAUAAGUGGGAAGACUCGAUAGAACAGGAUCCUCAGGUAACCAAUGGAGCUUCGCCUGAACUACGAAGUUGAUGGUGCUAGAUUGGAGUCUCACUCGGUCGAUUAUUCUAGCCUCCCUUCCAAGUAAGAUAUUCACUACAAUUCUUUUUUGUCAAGUGAAAAUGGAGAUUCAAAAAUGGUGGGAAUUAUCUGAACACGUGAAUGUAAAUUAAAUUUCUGGAUGUCACAACUUAAAGCCAAGCCAAUUCUUUUGAUAAAUUGAAAAGUGGUACCAACCGGAGCUCAAACAAUACGUACACCCCUACAGGCUGGAGUAACAGGAUAACUAAUUUGGAUAGUAAUGAAAUAACUUAAUCAGGAUUCCUAUAAAGUUCAGUAAAAUCUUGCAUAGAAAUAUAAGUGGAUAUAGUGAAAAUAAAUGAACAAGGUAGCAAAUAGAAAGCCUGUAACCUCGAACAAGCCAUACUUGAUUCACAGUAGGGCAAAACAUGUCUCUCUAUAUAUUGUACAAACAGUAUCACGAGAUAAUCAUGGGGUCUAUUCAUGCUUGUCAAAAACACAUUCAGGGGAAAAAAUUACUGUAGCAUCAUAAUAAAGAAAAAAUAUUUCGGGAGUUUGAGUUCCUACAACUGACUUGUAAGUGCUAUCUGGGAUAGAAUGCCGGAUAGUGGUAUAUAGGAUUUAGCUGGUAAGGAUUAAACUGAACUCCGAAAUUCACAGGAAAUGGAGCAUCUUGAACUCCAGGCAUUACAGCUGGUCCAUAACCAAUGGGGCCAAACUGUGCCACAUGUGGAACCACAGGCUGCAGAACACCUGGGGCGCUAACCCAUGGCCUUGGCUGGUAUAAGUGCUGCGGCUGCGGCUGUCUCUGCCUCUGCCUCUGUUGUGUCCUAGGUUUAUGUGGCUGUUGCCCCUUAUUUUCUUGCAGCUUAUGUUGUUUACGCUGUUCCUGCUUCCUUUGCAGCUUUUCUUUCUUUCCCUGCAGCUGGCUAUCUUGUCCCUCAUGUUGCUUCUCGUUUUUGCGCUUCUUGUUUUCCUGGUUUUGCUUCAUCCCCUCGUCACAUGGCUUUUGUUCCUGCCGCUGCUUCUGUUGAGUUUCUUUCUGCUGCCAUGAAUUUGAUGUCAAGGCAGUAGAGGCAUUUAUUAAACUACGCUUAUUUGCAUAUCCAGCUAACAAGCUAUCAAUUUCUGCCAAGAUAGCAACCGAUUGGCUAGAAUCAGUGUGUUGCUUAAGCAUAGUAUGCGCCACCCGUAGACUCUGAAUCUCCUUUGAUACAGCCGGAUUCUGUUCACAGGUAGAUGCAACCCAUUAAAUCAUCAACAACAGAGAAAUAUAGCUGGUGAAGAAAGAAUAUCGUUCAUAGCAAGCCACAAGGAAAAGGACAUGUUCACAAGUUCUGACCCUGUAGCUAAAGGGAGGAAUAAGGAGGACAAUAACACAACUGAAAAGAAGUGACAAAAGGGUAAAUGAUCAAUUGGCAAGUCUACUUAGUGGCAUCUGUGACAUUGCAUUCUUCAUAACAGCAAAUGAGAAGGCACCUCAACUCUGGGGCACUGGGGCUAAUCACAAUUUUCUCUACCAACGAAUGAAAUUAUCUAUCGAUUAUCUUAUGUCUUAUGAAGUUGGUUAGUACAACCAGACUGCAAUGCAAUUGUUUUCUCAUAGUAAUUCAUACCUUGUGUGAUGCAUUCUUGCUAAGUAGCUCUAGCGCAGUCCCUUUUGCCUUUUCAACAUAUCCCUCCAGAAGAGGAAGAGGAGGAUAUUCGUCCACCAAAUCAAGAGCAUGUACCAGUUGUAUGACACUCAACUGUUGUCCAUUUGCAAUCAAGUAACCAAUUAAGUCUGCAAAAAGAAAAGGACAUGGAAAACGUCAGCAACAGAACUUACACCACAAACAAGACAAUAGAAAUAAAUGCCUACAGCUCUUUCAAAACAAACUGCCAGCAAGAUAAAGGCUACUAAAAUUAAUAUUUCUGUACCAACACUGCAUAACAUGCAUUUUGGCAGUUCAGCCAGGGGAAAAAUCAUCACAUGAGGUGGAAUGGUUUUGCGAUGCUUUAUGUUGUUUUGGUUCAGUUUUGGUAGAGUUGAUUAGCCCCUAUGUACAACUUCAGCUGUUCUGGUUCUGUUGAGUUGAAAGAAUUGGCAUGGUUAAUUUUGUUCUUCACGUUUAUUUUAGCUGCACAAGGUCUAAACGCUAGACCCUUUCUAGAUUCUCAAUAAAUAGUUGGUUUGAAGUAUUUGAGGCUCCUAUUCACCACCAAUAGAAAAAUAUACUCUGUAGUCUGUACCGGUAUUAUGCUGGAUUAGGUAUGAAAUUAAUACGCGUAUCAUUUUGUCCAUAACAUCCUCAACCUUCUUGUACAAGAUUUUGACAGAGGUGGCAAGCCAGCAGCAAUGGGCAAACACCAAAAUACCUAAAGGCAUGGGUAACUUCAUGGAGGCAUUUCUUUUGGCAAAUCCAAAUGUCUAAUUAAGAAACAAGUAACUUCAACUACAUAACAGACUUAAAGAGCACUAGUGAACCCUUCUCUAACUCAUCAGUUUUGAAGUAAUUCUCACUUUCUGAAUGUUGCUGUUGGGAUGUUCCAUCUCUACAGACGAUUCCACCCGCAAAUCAGUAUGUUCAAGCACUGCCACUGCGCAUGCAAAUCAACUACUCCCUCCGAUCCAUAUUAAUUGUCUUAAAUUUGCCCAAAUAUGGAUGUAUCUAUGCCUAAAAAGCGUCUAGAUACAUGUAAUAUUUUGACAAUUAAUAUGGAUCGGAGGGAGUAAGUGAUUUAACAACCAGGUUUUCAUUUCCAAGUCUAGCAAGCCCCAAGCCCCAAAUUAGCAACCAUUCAAUUCCUAUACCAUUAGAUUAUUGAUCACUUGGAUAUCUUGUGAGUGGCAGUUUAGUAUUGGUGAAGGUACAUUGAUAUGCAACCAUAGAACAAGAUGAUAAAGUGUAUUAACUGAUUGAGAUCAUCAAGAGUAGAACACCUCGAUAAGGAGGUGCACAUCUAUGAACUCGCACAAAAGAAGCCACAAGACAUUUUAGUUACCAAUUCAAAGGCCAUAUGCAAUUAUCAUUUUUCUUAAAUUUAUCUCGGUUUCAACUAAUUUGGGUUCAAUGUUCUAUGCAAAGAGAAGCAUCACAACAGAACCUGGUAAAAUCAGAGCUUCUGCCUUCAAUGGCGUGCUAAAGGUACUGGCAAGUUUUGAAUCAAACAAUAAAUUUAAUGGGUGCUCAGUGUAUCAUCAUGAACAGUUCAAGAAGUACUAAAUACUUGGGUGAUCAAGCAGGCAUUGUUGAGCAAUACAUGGGAACUGAUUAUGCAAAAGCAGUGAGAUGUACCAAUAGGUCAAAUACAAGUUGCUGUGGAGUAUCAAUAUCUCUGCUUUGGAACUGAAUCAUGGUUUGCUAUUGAUGAAAUGCCAUCAUAUGUACCCUUGAAUUAGUGUCAAAGGACUGUGGCCAGAAUACCGCUAUAAUUCCUAUGUGCUUCAAUUUUACUUUUCAGUGUGCUUUAAUAUUCUUAUUGGUUAGUACAAAAACAAACAUAUUUAAAUCAUACAAAUGGUUCGAGUCAAACUGUCGAUUGACAAGGAAAGAUCACAACAUAUUCAACUGUUUUUUGUUACUCAAGUCAUCAAAUAUCUACACAAGUUUUCUUAUAAGUAUCAAGUACUGUGGAAGUACAAUAUGAUUGCAUAGUCUUUCAGGAAGACUUUUUAGGAAUGAUAUCCAUAUCUAGUUAAAUACUCCCUCCGUCCGGGUAUCUAAGAUCGAUCUACCUGGAAACUAAGUUUAGAAAUCUAAGGCCGUUCUCUACUCAGGAGCCGAUCCCAUUAAUUCCCCUCCAAGCCCGGUAGCAAUCCCAUCGUUUACCACCACAAUAACUGCCCGUUAAUCUCCCUGCCCAUCCCAAAACGCUUGCUCUUCUUUUCCUUUUCUCCACCCUGAAACGUGCUCCGCUAAUUACUGCGCCACCGCGAUAACUGCUCGCCAAUAGUUACGGGGGAAGUUAAUGACGAGGAUAAAGGAAGGGAAUCGGGGGCCCAACUAAUUAAAUCACGAUCUUUUCUCUCUAGGUCUUUCCAUCAUUCUGUCCACACGUCUUGGUUACAACAAUUUCUGAAAUUGGCCCUACAUACCCGGACGAAGGGAGUAGUGUUUUCGGUAAUGAGCAAACUGAGAAAUGUUUUGCUCCCAUCUUAGCUCGCUAAUAAUUAUAGGCUGUGUAUACCAAAUAUAAAUCCUGAAAGUAUAGCAUGAAAGACAUGGAAAACAUAAAUAUUUGACACUGGAGUUUGUUCAAUGUUUCCAUAUAAAGGUAUGCUUAUGGCCUACAAGCCCUAUCUACACAUCAUACAUUGAAAACUAAAUACAUCAAAUUCUCCAUUGAUGGCUUAUCCUAAACCUAAAGACCAGCAGAAUUUUAUACAGUGCAAAUGUUAUGUUCAGUGGUGGAAAUGAAAUUUAAUGACAUUAACAUGACUUGCACACCUAGCAUAUUUUCCUCCUUUUCAUAAUGCAUUGCGUAUUAGGUUUCAGAAGGCCUUGAUCAAGAAUUACUUCAUUAAUAUGUGAUUGAUAUGAUACAAAACCACAAUUAUCAGUAAGUACUUUUGAAGACGAAUCUAAUAAUUACAAAUUUCAUGUCAUAAAAACAAACAUAUUAACAAAGUAACAUGUGGUCGAAGCCUAGUCUUAAUGAAACCUAAUACACCAUGUAUUAUGAACAGGAGGGAGUAUUGAGCUGAAGUGCAUAACACAUUAUGAAUCGGAACUGAGAAAGAAUUGUCCGUACCACUGAUCCUACUAACCAGACCAAGAUCCUUGCAGAGCUCGAAGCACUUCCUCCUCUGAUACUUGCGGGGGACAGUGCCAAAGAGACGGAUGAUCUCAUCAACGCCAAACUCUGACACAAUGUUGUAAGAUAUGAGAAAGUAAAGGAGGGCCCAUGAGGCCAGUAUGCCAAGAUCCCCACAAUUCUCCGGCUUAUCAAUCAUAUUCUUCCAGUCCUUUGCAAGCUGCUUCGCCUGCUCUAUCGUGGACAUGGAAAACUCGGGAGACUGCUCAGGGACACACCGGAUCAGCUGAACACAGUUCUCCCAGACAUUGUUGUUCUUUGUCUGUUUUUUUAGCAGAAAGCCCCUGACAACACGAAGGGCAAGAGCAGCAGCAUCUUGGGCGUGGCGCAUAGCCAGAUGGUACUCUUGCCGCCUGCCAAUUUUGCACACAAACUCCACCAGACUUGUGGAAUCCAUUGUAGCGCAUGCCGCCAUGAGAUCCUUAUCGACGCCUUGAAGAGGCAGAUCUGCCUCUUUCGAAGAAACAAUCUUGGGCUCCCCCGUCUGCUCCUUAAUGUACUGUUCCCGUGACACCUUCUUGGCCUCCUGCUGCUCCUCUACUGCCUUCCCCAUCUCCUCGCCAGACUCCUGCUCCUCUUUACCUUUCCCUACAUUACCAUUCUUCUGCUCCUUGUCAUCAACCUCUUCGAUGACCUUCAAUUCCUCCUGCUCUUCCAUCUUCACCUCCUCCUCUUCCUGCAUCUCCGUGUCGGCAUUCUUCUCCUUGUCAGCUGCUUUGUUGGCAUCCAUCACCUCCUCCUCUUCCUGCAUCUCCGUGUCGGCAUUCUUCUCCUUGUCAGCUGCAUUGUUGGCAUCCAUCACCUCCUCCUCUUCUUCCACCUCCUCUUCCUCAUACUCUUCUUCCACCUCCACUUCCUCAUACUCUUCUUCCACCUCCACCUCUUCCUCGUACUCUUCUACCACCUCCACUUCCUCAUACUCUUCUUCCACCUCCACUUCCUCAUACUCCUCCACCUCUUCCUCGUACUCUUCUACCACCUCCACUUCCUCAUACUCUUCUUCGACCACCUCCUCCUUUUCCUCAUCGUCCUUUUCAUCAUCAUCCUCUUCGUCCUCCCCAGUCUCCUGCACCUCCUCUUCGACUAACUCCUCCUCUUCCUCCUCGCUGGUCUCGUCCUCUCCUUGAUUCUUGCCCUUCUCGUCGCCGCCAAUGGUGGCGGGUGCGGAAACGGGGCGGGCCGCAUCGAGGACCCGUAGCUGGAGAGAGCGGAGGGCGAUGGCGGACUGGAGGGAGGAGAUGUGGGCGUCGAGGUCGUCCCACGUGAAGGGGAGCGGGAAGGGGGAGCAGGCGACGAGGCGGUGGAAGGCCUCGCGCAGGGCGUCCUUCUUGGCCGGGAGCGCGGCGAUGACCGCCUCUACCUCCGCCGUCGUCAUCGCCUUCGGGGGGCGGUCGGCGUCGGGAUCGGGCUGCGCCGUCGGAGGAGAAGGGGAAAGGGAUUGGGGUUUGGACGCGGCGGCGGAUCGCCCCGAGGCGGACUCCAUCGCGUCGCACGACUACUGGUAACUGUGGGAGUUCUGCAGAGGACUGACUGUCUUUUCGUUCCAGGGCCGAUUGGAUGUGUACGUAUAUAUCGUACACCGGGUGGCUCUGCGUACGACGUGAUAUCAACCACAGGAUUAUUUGAUCGAUGGUUCAUAUCGUUCGCCUCGAGGGGAUCUCUGCGUCGACGUGUCAUCGUAGCUAGGGCUGCCAUUGUCGUCCAAUGCAAUCCAAGCCCUCCGAUCGUCUUCUGUUUCGCCGUCGUUCACAUCGAUUAGAGUUGGUGGUGGUCUACGUAUGAACAAGGGAACUGGACCUAGGCGGCACUUCGGGUGUUUGUCGUGCACCGUGCACGUUUUACUGAUGACGGCACGCUUCCUUUUACUGUGCACUUUGGACUAAGUUUAUGGACCUUUUUGACAACAAAAAAGACUUUGGGAUCAUCUUUAAAUUGUGUAGUAACUCAUGCACUACCGUUGUUUAUUUAAAUGAUAGAAUAUUUGUCUGUGAUUCUAGCCAUUGUUUAGAGCUUUCUUUCACAAACUGGACAUCUAGCUUCAGUUGGUUUACAAGGUUUUGUACAUUGUCCUAGGUCCAAGGAUGGAUCAUAUUUAGAACAUAUAGUCUUCAGAUUAUUGUUUCAUGAUACAACGCACUUAUGUUAUGAAAUCAAUUUUUGUUAUGUGAUGAAUUCUCUUGGUUAUGCUUAUCCCUCCCCCGAAUCUGACUUUAUUGCUUGGUUAGUUCUACUUUUAGUAUUAUUACUAUAUCAUGGAUAGUCUCUAAAGCAAGUCAGCUUCAAUGUCUUGCAACCGUGUGCAAACUCGGUUUGAUAAUUAACUCCUUGAGAAGAAAAAUAUUUAGGCGGAAAAAUAUGAAUGCGUCCAUGAAGUAGUCAUCUCGUGGGGAAAGAGUCUAACCUGGCCGGCCAAUGGCGAGGAGGGAUGCAAUUCAGUUUGAAGACUUCUUUGGAAUGCAUCUCGUGAAGGAAAGGGGAAGCUAACGCACAGCGGGAGGGAAUCUCUAACGGACAAGGUGUGUACCCUUCCCUUUCUAGUGUGUUGUGCGAGCCCUAGGCUGCAAUGCGAGAUCGCCGUGGGGGCACGAGACCCUGAUGUUCAGACCCUACCAUCGCACCUCCCCUCCUCACGACAGCGGAUGACGAGAGAUUCCGGUGAUGGACCCACUGGCGGAGGCAUGGGGAGGGCCAGCCACAGGAGCCAAGGCCCGGGCCAAGAAAAAAUAAAUGUUUCAUUAGAUACAGGAUUGGUUCUUCCUAAUUUUAUGUAAUCUGUAUAUGUGCCCCCCCCCCCCUCUCAACAUUCACACAAAAUAAAGCCCACAAAAAAUCUGCUAGAGUUUAAGAAAUCUUUGACUAAUCGACUUAUCAUCUUCUUCUAUUCUAUUCCAAAAGGCCAAAACCAAAUACGAGGAGGCAGAGACUGCUAAUGCUUCUUCCCCAACUCCACGUCCCCUCCUCCUGCAGCUCGAAGCCUUCAAGCAUGUGAAAAAACCAUUCCCAAAUUCCAAUAUGGCUAUCUGUAAUCGCUAGCUAGCAAAUUAUAUCGUACUGCUGGUCUUUUUCAAGGUAACUUAUAUUGAAAAAGCAAUUGCAAUUGGUAUAUCAACAGACAAUCGUAGAUGAGUUUGAUCAAUCACCACGUCAAGUGUCUUUUAGCCGAAACAUGUUUGUUCCUCUAUCUUCUAUUGUCUUUGUCUAGAUUUCUUUUAUGUGAUAUGAAAUUCAACACUUGUACAUCUUUUCAUUCUCAACAACGUUUGGAAGCAGAAUCAAUGAAAAAUAUUUUGCUAUGCAUUGGUUUCAGUUUUUGGCAAAUUUUAAGUAUAAAAAUGUUGUCCUCUUUAGUCGGCCCUCCAUAUCAAAUUUUCCUGCCUCCGCCCCUGGAUGGACCUUCCUGAGGUAGCGAAGCUCCCUGUGGCACCGCCCAGUGGGAGACAUCAGCGUAGAACCUACAUGCGGUGGCUCUUACUUUCCCUUUCCUGAUUGGACCUGGAGUCCUGCUAUCACGAGGGUUGAAGAAGCUCAAUAUUUUAUUUUAUUUUACAGAAAGAAGCUCAAUCUAUGUUGACAACAAAAUGCCAAAAAUUAGCUCCUAUGGAAUAUCGGAAAUCUGGAACAAGAUUUAUGGUUCUCCUUUGAAGAAGAAGAAAGCUUGCACCAAUCUGGAUCAUGAAUAUGCAGGAAUUUUGUAUAUCCUGCAAAUAUUUAAUCCCGUUUGGAAAUAUAACCUCGGUACGGAAUUAUUGUUGAUCUGAAAUGAUUACUUGAUAGAAUUUGGACUUGAGGAAUUCAUAGAUACUCAAGGUGUACUUAAGUAAUAUAAUUAAGGAAAAUUACUACAGUACUAAUAUACUUAAGGAUAAUUACUAAAGAUCACCCAGUCACCCGGAUAUAAAAUACUAAUUGGAAGGGACUAAGUUGAUUGUCAAAUUACUUAAGGUGUACUUAAGUAACAUACGUAAGGAAAAUUACUAAAGAUCACCCUGAUACAGCUAAUACUAAUUGGAAUGGCAUAUGUUGAUUGUCAAAUUACAGCCUGGUGGAAAUUAACGCACAUAAUUAAAUUGUAUAUUUAAUUAUGUCGUGUGAUUCACACAUGCAUGUCCUAGGACCUCACAAAGAAGUGUCUGAUUAAAGGAAUUGUAUCGUGGUUAUUAAUUAAACCUGGACACGAUCUCGCCUGGGCCCCACCAGUUCCGAUCGGAACCAACCCAUUCAUUGGUUUUGUAGUCACAAGUUGCAUGGUUCGGCAUACUGCAGGCAUAUUCCUUUUUGAGAAACCACUUAGUUCCAUUCUACUUUUGCAUAUUUCAGGGACCAAACACAAGAAUCAUGCCAAAACGUGGAACGGUUCCAUUGUAUAUUCAGCAAUCAAACACAGCACGGAAUCUGAGUUGGGAGUUAUAGCUGCUGUUAGGGUCAUGGGAAGCCAGCAACCACGUUUGUAAUGUUGGACUCAUCAAGAGAAUUGGUUGAUGUUUUAUAUGCUGGUUCUAUUCAGUCCUGUCAGUUCCAUCCCAAAGGGAUCUAUAAGUUUUUAUAUAUUGUUUCUGUGCAAAAAGCUUGCAGGCAACAACAAGCACUCCUUUAAUGAUAUAGAUUGUCCAUGUUUGAUUUCUGUGCAUUUGCUUAACUAGUACACCUUUAAUCUAAUUAUGUUUGGUUUUAUAAAAUUGGUAGGAUACACUUGACUUAAUCUCUUCUUACUGUCAUACUCCUUCGAGUGGAUUUGCACAAUUAUUUUUAAGAAAACUUUGGUUGGUCACCUAGAUACGAAACCAGAAGCGAAAUCGACAAAGUAUUGUACCUGCAGGCUACAAUUUGAUGAUUUCCGUGAAAACCCCUCUGAGCUUCGUGAUUGGAUUUCUGCUAUGAUCCUCAUUUCCUUCCAAUUGUAUUGUUCAUGAGUUACUCUAAUUUCUAUAAGCUCAAUUCUAAUUUUAUUUUAUAAACCGAUGGGGACUUCCACCAUUAGGAUUUGUGGUAUCUCUCAACAAUUACCAUUAAUGCUAACGAUGAACACUUGGAUUUGAUUUCUCUUCUAUUUAAUAGAAGACUUUCCUUUUUUUUCAUGAGUUCUUUUGAGAUAAGAUGGGAUUAGAUAAAAUUGGCAUGAGCUUUCAUUUUCCAUGCAUGACUUUAAAUUCUCUUGAGAGGAGAUUUCAAUUUUUUUACAAUCGCUUUUAGAUAAUCUUCAAUAUUUUUUAGUUGAGGUUUCAAUCCGUUUCAAAUGAGAUUUCUAUUCUUAUGAGUUCCUGUCAUUGCACAAGCUUUCAGUUUUCAAUGGACAAUCUUUCGUUUCCCUUGGGACUAUCUUUCAUUUCCCUUUUAGUUACUUUUUGCUUUCCCAAAUCGACUUCUUGCUAAAAAAAUAUAGAUAUGUUUCUUGCUUCAAGUUUUUGAGAUGACCUUUCAAUUCUUUUGGGGCAAGGUUUUGAUUUUUUUCGAGUUUCUUUGAGAUGUGCUUCAACAUUGUUUACAUGAGCUUACAAUUUUUAAAACGGUAGCUUCUGAUUUCUCCAAAACAAGCUUUACAUUUUUAUUUUGAGUUCUUUUGAGAUGAACUUCAAUAUCUUAACAUUAUCUUUCAUUUUUUUAAGGAUGCACUUUUUCAAAAUUUAUUUUUUAGAUGGGAUUUUACAAAUAUGACAUGAGAUUUCUAUUCAUCUGAGAAGUCCCUUUGCAAUGAAGUUUUCAAUUUUGAAUGACAAGCAUUCAUUUUCUUUUGAGAAGAGACUUGAAUUUGAUAGAGAUGAUCUUUUUCAAAAAUGAAUUUGAUAGAGAAGAGACUUGAAUUAGAUUGACACGAGCUUCCAAUAUUUUCAUAUUGAUGAGAUUUCAACUUUUUUUAGGUGAUUAUUUACUUCUUUCUUUAGUUCAUUUGGAGUGGUUUGGGAUAGAGGCAAAGUGGGUGGCAGCACGAAGCAAAGAAAUACACGUAAACGAGUCGCUCACCCAUAGUAGUAGCACUAGUUAGGGUCAUCGAGAUUAAGCGAUAACAAAUGUGUAGCCGAGACAUAGACCAUGAUUCCCUUCAUUUCAGACGGAUUUCAAUACUUUAACAUGAGCUUUAAAUGUUUUAAAUUAGUUAAUGAUUCUUUUUUCUGAUGCUGAUACCUGCCCCCUUUGCCACUCGGGUGCUUUGGAGGAUUGGAAGCAUCUUUUCUUUACUUGUCAAUUUUGCCAGAGAUGCUGGAACUAUCUUCAGAUUGUGUGGCCGGCUGGAGGGAAUGUGACUACUAUUCUUUAGAUGGCAAGGAGAGAUUUUGGACAGCCUUUCUUCAUUGAGGUUGUGGCGCUUUGUUGUUGGCAUAUUUGGAAGCAGCGAAAUAACUGGAUUUUUGAAGGAGUUCGUCCCAGCUUUAGGUCUUGGCUGCGGAAUUUUAAGGAGGAUAUUGCUUUGCUCCAAUUUAGAUUGAAGCCCGCUCUGCUUCAUGUCUUCUCCUCUUGGUUAGAUAGCCACGUAUAGUUUGAUUUUCUAGGUGAGCUUUUCUUGGACCUCUUGUAAAUAGCUUGUACAUUGUAUUAUUUUGAGUAAUAUAUUCAUUGUCGAGGCCUCCCCUACAGUUUCGGGUAAAAAAAAUGAUUCUUUUUUAUUUCCAUUAGGAUGAGCUUCAAUACUUCAACAUCAGUUUUUUAAAGACGACCCUUCAAUUCCUUUUGAAUUUCCAUAUUUUUCAGUUUCUUUCGAUUGAACUUCAAUUAUUUUUUAUGUAAGCUUUUCAAAAAAAUUAAAGACGAUCUUUACAUUAUUAUUGAGUUCCCUUGGGAUGGGCUUCAAUAUUUUCAAAACGAGCUUUGAUUUUUUUAAAUGAACAUUUUAAUUAUCUGACAUGUCAUUUUUUCGGACGAGUUUUCAUUUUUCUAGAAAUAUUGAAACGAGCUACAUUAUUUUCAAAGUAGGCGAGCUUUUGCAUCUCUACUACUUAUAAAGGCAUCAACAUUUUCUUUUCUAAAAGCAUUCCACAAAACGUACACAAAUCAUUCCCACCUCACAAUUACUCAAAUAGUUAGGCCCAUUAAAUCAGCUCUAGCAACUAACUUUUAGUCUACGGCUCUCUCGGAUCCAUAAAAAGUGUCGCUCAUUUUGUACCAAGUUAAAUUUUAUACUAAGUGGGCGACAUUUUUUAUGGAUGGAGGAAGUGAUUUUUUUACCUGUGUGGGUUUAGCGAUUAAUUUACGUGUGACUCCCGAUCGCGCCUGCCCUCACGCGCACCAUGCCUGCCAACGUGUCCCUGCCAUGCUGCUGCACGCGCCGGCCGCGUUACGCGGUCCCUCUCGCAGUCUCCUCGUACUGGUCAGAGCCUGCUCCCUGUUUUUCGUCUUUGUCUAUGUUGGUCCUUCGUAGUUGGUACACCUGAUGAUUAGAUAGACAUCACAAUCAGAAUCAAUUGUAUUGACAACAUUUUCAAAUUGUGAGCGACAGCUUAUUUAUAUUAUUUUGUGGAUGAUUUAGGUUUUGCAUAAGUGCUAGCACAUUUUUAUGCAGCGAAAUCCAUAAAUUUGUUGUGUUCUACCUUUUUCUAUAGGUCAUUUGAGAAAUCACUGGUUUCAGAAUAUUUUAGAGUUGUAGUUUCAUCUGGUGUGACCGUGCGAUGCAGCCGGCCAAAGUCAGAAAUAAGCUGUUCAUCUCUUGUGCCUAUCUGACCAAAGUGGCAUAGUUUAAUUCCAUUACUGAAUCUGAAAGUUGAUUUCUGCAGACAGAUAUGUACUAUAUCAUAUUCCUACAUAAUAUCAAUGUGCGUCUCUGCAAAAUUAAAAAAACUAACCUACCUUUUGCGCCCAUCGUUUCGAAAUAAUCAGAAUAUCAAUUUUAGCUCUGUUUGUAAACCCUCUCAAGUAUAUUGUCGAGAUCAUUCGGUUCUUGCUUUCUGUCAAUGCAAAUGCAAUUCUGAUAAUUGGUUGGCCUGUUCUAAAAUUGUCUUCACAUUAUUUAUCGCCUAAAGAUAGAUCUGCAUAUUUGUUGUUGCACAUAUUUAUUUUUUUGCCAGAAUCGUCACACACAUAGUUGCCAAUUUGAUAAGUUGAUGCCAUUGAUUAGCGGGUUUGGCACAUAUUUUGGUACUAGAUGACAAGCAUCUAUUUUAAGAUGGCACAUCUAUUUCACGGAAUUACCUGGAUGUUCCAUUCCAUUGGUAGCUUCAGGCAUGAAUAAAAUUUCAGGAACUUGGCACUGCUACUUCUUGGUGUAUUUGCCUGCCCACCAUAUAUAUAACUUUGUAUACCCCUUCUUGGUUGCAUGCUUAGUUUUUAUGGUUUACGAGUGACCAUUAUGUGAAUCUAUAUAAUCUAUAAAGUUGAUCCCCAUUAACUGCAAUUAAUGUUUGGAAACUUGACAUGCAAGGUAUCCACAUCAUCAUCCACAUCAUGCACAUCAUGAGCAUUCAAAGGGUCCACAUCACCAUCCACAUCAUGUGUUGUUGUACACUAGGAAUCCAUUUUGAUGGUCCAUUCGAAUUUAAUAUUUUGAUAACUAAAAAUUUUCAUUUUCACGUUGCAUAUAAAUAUUUCAUCAAACACACAUAUUUUAAUUCAUGAUAUGUCUGUCAAUUUUUCUAACAUCUGCAAAUAUUCAGGUUGACGAAACUUCACUUUUCGGUUUCUUCGAAAUUGUUAAUGUUCGUGCACAUCAAAAUUACACCUAUUGUUUUGUUGCAUAGAUGUUAUGAAUGAUAAAAUCGUUUUUUCCUACAAUAUUCAUAUUUAUUUUACAUUAAAUCAUAUUAUUUGCAUUUGUUUCUAAAAUCAUAUUCAGACGUGCAUAUCACCCUCGACUCCGUGGCCACUAGCCAGCCAUAUCGCCGCCUCUUCAGCUCAACCUCCGUCGACUGCAGCUUGUCCGUGUCUCACCUUUUUGCCGCCGUCGCUUUGGUCCGCUCUCUCCGCCAUGGCUGGUCAUGACAUCAUUGUCUCCAACUCAAUCGAGACUCAUCUCGACCAUAGUCGCCGGAGCUUGCUUCAGUUCGCUCGGUGCUCUACUCUUACGCGAAUGGACGAAAACGAAGGGGAUUUCGGGUUCAUAUAGAAUUUUUGCGGCAACGCGCGGGGAACCACCAAGUUUACUUCCAUUCUAGACCCCAUAUGGUAAUCAUAUCCCAGUCAAAUGGUACAUUCAUCUGUAGAGUUUACGAGUAAAGAAACUACUCUCAUGGGCACCUUUUUCUUCAGAAUUUCUCAGGCUCCUUCGAUGAUUGUUCUGUUGGUGGCCUGUCAUUGGAUGUUAAAGGAAAGACGCCUGUCGGAAGGCCAUUGGUGCCUUGUUCCAGCUCUCACCGAUCUGAAGGCCAUUGCUGGCUAUUGGGGCCAAUUUUAUAAGGAUUAGUUUUGAAGCUACAUAAUGUGUGUGUUUAUUUUAUACAUAUUUUUUCCUUGCAGAUUAUAGAUGUAUUGUUGAAGGUUAUAGUAACUUACAAGCUUCAAAAAUAUAAAUGAUGUUUAUAGCUAUACUCUUAGCUAACUUUUUUUCUUCCAAACAGAAACAGUGACCCAUGUUUAGAAGAUCAAUUUCGAGAGAAACUUCAUGUGGGUUAUAUGCUAAUACAUGAGAAGUUAUCAGUACUGUAUGUUAGUUGUUAAUCUUUUGAGUGAAGCAUACUCUUUUAAAGUUAAAUGUUAGUACCAGACCA